CCCUUAGAUGUUCUGGGCCGCACGCGCGCUACACUGACGAUGGCAACGAGUUUUUCCUUCGCCGAAAGGUGUGGGUAAUCUUUUGAAACAUCGUCGUGCUGGGGAUAGAUCAUUGCAAUUUUUGAUCUUGAACGAGGAAUUCCUAGUAAGCGCGAGUCAUCAGCUCGCGUUGAUUACGUCCCUGCCCUUUGUACACACCGCCCGUCGCUACUACCGAUUGAAUGGUUUAGUGAGGACUCCUGAUUGGCGCCGCUGCCCCGGCAACGGAGCAGCGGACUGCCGAAAAGUUGUUCAAACUUGAUCAUUUAGAGGAAGUAAAAGUCGUAACA
rnacentral:rRNA from 1 species